CCCAACACCCUUCUUCCACAUAUAUAUUCAUACUUUUCAAGGAUUAGGGUUAAGAAUGAGUGAGUGUCGCUUGAGAGGCUGCAUCAUGUAGUUGUGUUUGUGAACUUUGACUCACUCCCUUAACAGUCGAUGACUGCUAUCAUCUCUGGUGGAGUGAGCAAGUGUGAUUUAUUUCAUUCAUAAAAUUAAGGUAUGAGAGAGGAAGUGCAUCGCUAGGAAUGGGUGGCAGGGGAUAUGAAGUCCGACAACUUGGGAGGAUGUUUAACGAGAACUUGACUUCCGACAGCAGGUUUUCGGUGGGUUUUAGAAGCUAUGUUGAGUAUCGUAUUCACUCUAGGCGUUCACACUAAGUUUCUUGAUGAGAUUUUGUUCCAGUCGAAGGGAGGCUCAAGCGAAUCUGUGGAGAGUAAAUGCGAUAACCGAUUGUGACUAGCGAUCUGUUAACAGUCCAAUUUGUAAGCAACUCCAAUGGCGAGGUUUAAGCACCUUUUCAGCUAGAGAGGAGAGUGGGGAGAGAGAACUGAGAAAGCAACUCUAGUAGGUCGGUUCUCUCAUUCUGCGGUCGUCAUAUUAGACGGCGCUAGAGGGGUUGUCACCGAAGAAGCUUAAAUUGUCGGGAUUGAAGAAGGGCUUCGAUUGCCGAAUGAAUAGGGGUCCUUCUUGUAUCUAUGUAGGAGUUCGGGAAUCUGUCAGCCAGCAGCUGGGGUCGAGUCUGCGGGACUUCAGCAAAUGUGUGAUUAUGUCUUCGGAACUUCAGCAGUGUGAGGUACUUCGUGUUUAAAGGAAAGGAGCCGGCUUGAUCGCAACGCAUCACACUAUGGUUUUCCGCACAUGAGAUCUUUGGGAUUACACUCUGAUAUUAUUUUAUGAUAACACGUUUGAUUAUUUCUACUUUGGUUUUGACAUGACAUGAUAUUACGGAUGUUUUAUUACACUAUUGGUUUUAUAAUGACGUAUUUAAAAAUGAAAAUUUUGGCCUGUA